AAAGGUAAAGAAGAGAAAAAAAAUUAAAAUUGAUUAACAGGUAAGUGAAUAUGGUUACAUGUACAUGGAAAGCAAAGCAUGGAAGGGUUGAAAGGUUAACUACACUGUAGAGACUGAGAAAAUGUAACAAAGAUCUGCGAGAAAAUUGAUUAAUUGAAUUGCAUAUUUAAAUAUGAUGAUUGUAAACAAAGGAAAUUGAUAAAAAUGAUAUGAACAGUUUAAUCAACGAAUCAAUAUUGUUUUCCCUUUUAAAUUGGAAGGGGGAGAAUCAAAAUCAGCUGAUAAAUUUUUCUCAAAGGAAGCAAGUUUUCAUUUUCUGUAAGUUGAUCUUCAUUGAUUGUUACAAUUGAUUCAAUUAUGGUUUAAAAGAAAAUUUGAGUUCUCUUUACUACUAUUAAUAAUUAUCUGUGUCUAAUUAUGUAAUUCAGAUAUAUCGAAUUACGUGAUCUUCCAAAUAGAAAAGAAAAUGGUUGUUUGGUUCACCGAGAAUCGAAAAGCAAUCAACUUGAUUAAGAUCAUUCAAGUGAGAUUGAUUCAGCAAGGAUCAUCCUCAUCAUCUCUUCAUGCAUUCGGAUUUGGAUUUUUAUCCGUUCCUGUGAUAUUGAACUAUCUUUUACUUUAACUCACUAAUUGGACUCUUUUAAUUUGCUAAUUUCUUUUACAAUUUAAUUUCCAGAUAAUGGUUAAGAUGAGACAUGAAUUAGUGUUUAAGCAUUUCAAUCCACCGCUCAUGAUGAUUAUAUUUGGCAUAAGAGCUAAAUUUAAAACUCUAAUUAAUGAUUAAACCUGAUAAAAGUUAGAGACAGAAAAGUUCAGAUUCUAACUUUUCACCAUUCAACCUUGAAAGAUAACUCAUCCAUCAUGGUUAACCCUGGAAAACUGAAUUCCCAUAAGAAUUUAUGAACGAAAAAAGAAACGACAAUAAGACAUUAAAAUUUAUUCUGAAUAUGGAUAAUAACAACAGAAACUAAGGUAAAACUUAUUAAACUUGAUAAAAUUUCA